GAAUUUUCCGCACAGAGCGGAAUUUCUCUUUGUCUUUUCUAAUUAGUUUCACAGAAAUCACAAGACAAAGAAAAAUUCCGCUCUGCACGGAAAAUUGCGCCCUGU